CUUGCACCGAGCGGAUGAGUUGCGAACGGGUGAGUAACGCGUAGGUAACCUGCCUCUUAGCGGGGGAUAACUAUUGGAAACGAUAGCUAAUACCGCAUAAAAGUCGAUAUCGCAUGAUAUUGAUUUGAAAGGUGCAAUUGCAUCACUAAGAGAUGGACCUGCGUUGUAUUAGCUAGUUGGUGAGGUAACGGCUCACCAAGGCGACGAUACAUAGCCGACCUGAGAGGGUGAUCGGCCACACUGGGACUGAGACACGGCCCAGACUCCUACGGGAGGCAGCAGUAGGGAAUCUUCGGCAAUGGGGGCAACCCUGACCGAGCAACGCCGCGUGAGUGAAGAAGGUUUUCGGAUCGUAAAGCUCUGUUGUAAGAGAAGAACGAGUGUGAGAGUGGAAAGUUCACACUGUGACGGUAACUUACCAGAAAGGGACGGCUAACUACGUGCCAGCAGCCGCGGUAAUACGUAGGUCCCGAGCGUUAUCCGGAUUUAUUGGGCGUAAAGCGAGCGCAGGCGGUUAGAUAAGUCUGAAGUUAAAGGCUGUGGCUUAACCAUAGUACGCUUUGGAAACUGUUUAACUUGAGUGCAGAAGGGGAGAGUGGAAUUCCAUGUGUAGCGGUGAAAUGCGUAGAUAUAUGGAGGAACACCGGUGGCGAAAGC
rnacentral:rRNA from 1 species